rnacentral:rRNA from 1 species
GGAUCAACGUGAUGGUCAUGCCUUAAGGGUAUGAACUGUUGCAGUUGAUUUCUCACCUUCUGGAGAAGCUUGAUGUCCUUAAUUGGGUGUCAUGUGGAACCAGGACCUUUACCUUGAAAAAAUUAGAGUGUUUAAAGCAGGCAUUUUGCUUGAAUACAUUAGCAUGGAAUAAUAGAAUAGGACAGCAUGGUUCUAUUUUGUUGGUUUCUAGGAUCACUGUA